rnacentral:rRNA from 1 species
UACGUAGGGGGCAAGCGUUGUCCGGAAUCAUUGGGCGUAAAGCGCGUGUAGGCGGUCCGGUAAGUCCGCUGUGAAAGUCGGGGGCUCAACCCUCGGAUGCCGGUGGAUACUGUCGGGCUUGAGUACGGAAGAGGCGAGUGGAAUUCCUGGUGUAGCGGUGAAAUGCGCAGAUAUCAGGAGGAACACCUAUUGCGAAGGCAGCUCGCUGGGACGUGACUGACGCUGAGACGCGAAAGCGUGGGGAGCAAACAGG